rnacentral:rRNA from 1 species
AGAGUUUGAUCCUGGCUCAGGAUGAACGCUAGCGACAGGCUUAACACAUGCAAGUCGAGGGGCAGCGGUGGUGAAGGCUUGCCUUUACCAGCCGGCGACCGGCGCACGGGUGAGUAACACGUAUGCAACCUGCCUGCCACAGCCGGAUAAUCGGGAGAAAUUCCGUCUAAUACGGCAUAAUGCAUCGACGGGACAUCCUGUUGGUGCCAAAGGUUGAUUCCGGUGGCGGAUGGGCAUGCGUCGCAUUAGUUAGUUGGCGGUGUAACGGACCACCAAGACGACGAUGCGUAGGGGUUCUGAGAGGAAGGUCCCCCACACUGGUACUGAGACACGGACCAGACUCCUACGGGAGGCAGCAGUGAGGAAUAUUGGUCAAUGGGCGGGAGCCUGAACCAGCCAAGUCGCGUGAGGGAUGACGGCCCUAUGGGUUGUAAACCUCUUUUGCCGGGGAGCAAAGUGCCGCACGUGUGCGGUUUGGAGAGUACCCGGAGAAAAAGCAUCGGCUAACUCCGUGCCAGCAGCCGCGGUAAUACGGAGGAUGCGAGCGUCAUCCGGAUUUAUUGGGUUUAAAGGGUGCGUAGGCGGACGCUUAAGUCAGCGGUAAAAUUGCGGGGCUCAACCUCGUCGAGCCGUUGAAACUGGGUGCCUUGAGUGGGCGAGAAGUACGCGGAAUGCGUGGUGUAGCGGUGAAAUGCAUAGAUAUCACGCAGAACUCCGAUUGCGAAGGCAGCGUACCGGCGCCCAACUGACGCUGAAGCACGAAGGCGUGGGUAUCGAACAGGAUUAGAUACCCUGGUAGUCCACGCAGUAAACGAUGAAUGCUAGUUGUCCGGGGCGAUUGAGUUCUGGGUGACACAGCGAAAGCGUUAAGCAUUCCACCUGGGGAGUACGCCGGCAACGGUGAAACUCAAAGGAAUUGACGGGGGCCCGCACAAGCGGAGGAACAUGUGGUUUAAUUCGAUGAUACGCGAGGAACCUUACCCGGGCUCAAACGCAGGAGGGAUGUUUUUGAAAGGAGGCAGCCAGCAAUGGUCUCCUGCGAGGUGCUGCAUGGUUGUCGUCAGCUCGUGCCGUGAGGUGUCGGCUUAAGUGCCAUAACGAGCGCAACCCCUACCUACAGUUGCCAUCGCGUGAUGGCGGGCACUCUGUGGGGACUGCCUGCGCAAGCAGUGAGGAAGGCGGGGAUGACGUCAAAUCAGCACGGCCCUUACGUCCGGGGCGACACACGUGUUACAAUGGCAGGUACAGCGGGAAGCCACCCGGCGACGGGGCGCGGAACCCGAAAACCUGUCUCAGUUCGGAUUGGAGUCUGCAACCCGGCUGUAUGAAGCUGGAAUCGCUAGUAAUCGCAGAUCAGAAUGCUGCGGUGAAUACGUUCCCGGGUCUUGCACACACCGCCCGUCA